AAUGAACGUUGGCGGCGUGGAUUAGGCAUGCAAGUCGUGCGAGAAUCGUAGCAAUACGAGGAAAGCGGCGAAAGGGAGAGUAAUGCAUGGAUAUCUACCCUCGGGUCUGGGAUAGCUACGGGAAACUGUAGGUAAUACCAGAUGACAUCUCCGGAUCAAAGGUGUGAUUCCGCACGAGGAGGAGUCCAUGCCCUAUUAGCUAGUUGGUGAGGUAACGGCCCACCAAGGCUGAGAUGGGUAUGGGGUGUGAGAGCACGACCCCACUCACUGGGACUGAGAUACUGCCCAGACACCUACGGGUGGCUGCAGUCGAGAAUCUUCGGCAAUGGGCGCAAGCCUGACCGAGCGACGCCGCGUGCGGGAUGAAGGCCUUCGGGUUGUAAACCGCUGUCAGUGUGGAGGAAAUUCCUAGGGGUAAUCUCCUAGGAUUGAACUAUACGCAGAGGAAGGAUGGGCUAAGUUCGUGCCAGCCGCCGCAGUAA
rnacentral:rRNA from 1 species